UGGGGAAUCUUGGACAAUGGGCGAAAGCCUGAUCCAGCCAUGCCGCGUGAGUGAAGAAGGCCCUAGGGUUGUAAAGCUCUUUCAGCGGGGAAGAUAAUGACGGUACCCGCAGAAGAAGCCCCGGCUAACUUCGUGCCAGCAGCCGCGGUAAUACGAAGGGGGCUAGCGUUGUUCGGAAUUACUGGGCGUAAAGCGCGCGUAGGCGGACUGGCCAGUCAGGGGUGAAAGCCCGGGGCUUAACCUCGGAACUGCCCUUGAUACUGCCAGUCUAGAGUCCGGCAGAGGUGAGUGGAAUUCCUAGUGUAGAGGUGAAAUUCGUAGAUAUUAGGAAGAACACCAGUGGCGAAGGCGGCUCACUGGGCCGAGACUGACGCUGAGGCGCGAAAGCGUGGGGAGCAAACA
rnacentral:rRNA from 1 species